CCUACGGGGGGCUGCAGUGGGGAAUAUUGCACAAUGGGCGCAAGCCUGAUGCAGCCAUGCCGCGUGUGUGAAGAAGGCCUUCGGGUUGUAAAGCACUUUCAGCGGGGAGGAAGGCGGUGAGGUUAAUAACCUCAUCGAUUGACGUUACCCGCAGAAGAAGCACCGGCUAACUCCGUGCCAGCAGCCGCGGUAAUACGGAGGGUGCGAGCGUUAAUCGGAAUUACUGGGCGUAAAGCGCACGCAGGCGGUCUGUCAAGUCGGAUGUGAAAUCCCCGGGCUCAACCUGGGAACUGCGUUCGAAACUGGCAGGCUAGAGUCUUGUAGAGGGGGGUAGAAUUCCAGGUGUAGCGGUGAAAUGCGUAGAGAUCUGGAGGAAUACCGGUGGCGAAGGCGGCCCCCUGGACAAAGACUGACGCUCAGGUGCGAAAGCGUGGGGAGCAAACAGGAUUAGAUACCCCGGUAGUC
rnacentral:rRNA from 1 species